GAACCGACUAAUGUUGAAAAAUUAGCGGAUGACUUGUGGCUGGGGGUGAAAGGCCAAUCAAACCGGGAGAUAGCUGGUUCUCCCCGAAAGCUAUUUAGGUAGCGCCUCGUGAAUUCAUCUCCGGGGGUAGAGCACUGUUUCGGCAAGGGGGUCAUCCCGACUUACCAACCCGAUGCAAACUGCGAAUACCGGAGAAUGUUAUCACGGGAGACACACGGCGGGUGCUAACGUCCGUCGUGAAGAGGGAAACAACCCAGACCGCCAGCUAAGGUCCCAAAGUCAUGGUUAAGUGGGAAACGAUGUGGGAAGGCCCAGACAGCCAGGAUGUUGGCUUAGAAGCAGCCAUCAUUUAAAGAAAGCGUAAUAGCUCACUGGUCGAGUCGGCCUGCGCGGAAGAUGUAACGGGGCUAAACCAUG
rnacentral:rRNA from 1 species